UUUGUCUUCUCUGUAAAUUUCUGGUUCUCUCCACCCAUUGCCGUCCUUUGCUGAUCUUCAUCAAGAUCCAAAGUGGCCAUCAGAUCUACACAGCAAUCCUUCGGUUCCUAUAGCUGCCACUCAUUGGCUGGAAAACGUGUCGUUUAGUUCAAAAGCCUUAAGUUAGAAAAAUCUCAGAGGGUAAUGUCCAGUCAGUGGAUUAGGUAGGCUUGAGCCAGUGUCCAUCUCUGGGCAAUCAGCCAUGAUCAGGGCCAGCAGAGUCAUACAGUGGGUGCAGCUGCCUGUGUGUUAGGCUAUGGGAAAGUUCAUGUUCUGAGUUGGGCAUGCAACAGAUCUGAAUACAGGAAGUUCCCAGGAUGCCAUGGUUUCCAGACUUCUGUGAUGCUGAAAUUGAGAAGGAAGAGGAAUACUGAAAUUCUUCAAGGACUGUUGGAUACAGGGUGGAGCUGUAACCAAUACUGAGGACCCAUUUUAUGGCAUAAGAAAUACAACAGAGAGCAUAUGACCAUGGACCCCACUGGUCCUAAAAAAUUGCUGGAGUCCAGCUCCAAUAGAGUCCAGGUUCCUGAGGGAUGAACGGCGUCGGCAAAGAGAUUGAGACUGCACACCAGAUUCCCCUGGGUCCUUGACUAGCUCAAACAAUCAUUUAUCUUCUAAAGAACUUCAGUGAUUUGGGACCAAGUAUUCAGCACAUAGAAUUAAUCUUUUAUAAGAAGAUCUAGUUUUAAAAUGACAUUUUAGUAAAAUUGUUUUAUAUCUCAGAGAAAACAGACCCUCUGCAAUAUCAUUAAAAAUUUGGU
rnacentral:lncRNA from 1 species